AUUGAACGCUGGCGGCAUGCCUUACACAUGCAAGUCGAACGGUAACAGGUCUUCGGAUGCUGACGAGUGGCGAACGGGUGAGUAAUACAUCGGAACGUGCCCGAUCGUGGGGGAUAACGAGGCGAAAGCUUUGCUAAUACCGCAUACGAUCUACGGAUGAAAGCGGGGGAUCUUCGGACCUCGCGCGGACGGAGCGGCCGAUGGCAGAUUAGGUAGUUGGUGGGAUAAAAGCUUACCAAGCCGACGAUCUGUAGCUGGUCUGAGAGGAUGAUCAGCCACACUGGGACUGAGACACGGCCCAGACUCCUACGGGAGGCAGCAGUGGGGAAUUUUGGACGAUGGGCGAAAGCCUGAUCCAGCCAUGCCGCGUGCAGGAUGAAGGCCUUCGGGUUGUAAACUGCUUUUGUACGGAACGAAAAGCCUCUUUCUAAUAAAGAGGGGUCAUGACGGUACCGUAAGAAUAAGCACCGGCUAACUACGUG
rnacentral:rRNA from 1 species